UACGUAGGGGGCAAGCGUUGUCCGGAAUCAUUGGGCGUAAAGCGCGUGUAGGCGGCUCGGUAAGUCCGCUCUGAAAGUCCAGGGCUCAACCCUGGGAUGCGGGUGGAUACUGCCGAGCUCGAGUCCGGAAGAGGCGAGUGGAAUUCCUGGUGUAGCGGUGAAAUGCGCAGAUAUCGGGAAGAACACCCGUGGCGAAGGCGGCUCUCUGGGACGGUACUGACGCUGAGACGCGAAAGCGUGGGGAGCGAACAGG
rnacentral:rRNA from 1 species